ACGCUGGCGGCAUGGCUAAAACAUGCAAGUCGAACGAUCCCUUCGGGGAGAGUGGCGAAAGGGCGAGGAAUAGCAUCGAAUGUACCCCAAGGUAAAGGAUAGCUUCUGGAAACGGAAGGUAAUACUUUAUGUGCUCUAUGGAGUAAAGGUUUACCGCCUUGGGAGCAGCGAUUCUCCUAUCAGGUAGUUGGUGAGGUAACGGCUCACCAAGCCGAAGACGGGUAGCGGGUGUGAGAGCAUGACCCGCCGCAUCGGGACUGAGACACUGCCCGGACUCCUACGGGAGGCUGCAGUAACGAAUCUUCCGCAAUGGGCGAAAGCCUGACGGAGCAAUGCCGCGUGUGGGAUCAAGCAUCUUCGAUGUGUAAACCACUGUCAGGGUCUAGGAAUACUGACCAGACCCAGAGGAAGGGCCGGCUAAUUCAGUGCCAGCAGCCGCGGUAAUACUGAAGGCCCGAGCGUUAAUCGGAAUCACUGGGCUUAAAGCGUACGCAGGCGGACUUGUAGGUAUUUUGUGAAAUCCCACGGCUUAACCGUGGAACUGCAGAGUAAACCACAAGUCUUGAGACAUGUAGGGGUCAGUGGAACGAUGUGUGGAGCGGUGAAAUGCGUAGAUAUACAUCGGAACGCCAAUGGCGAAGGCAGCUGACUGGGCAUGUUCUGACGCUCAGGUACGAAAGCGUGGGUAGCGAACGGGAUUAGAUACCCCGGUAGUCCACGCCGUAAACGAUGCACACUAGAUCGUGGGAUCUCUCAUGAUUUCACGGUCGAAGGUAAACUGGUAAGUGUGCCGCCUGGGGAGUACGGUCGCAAGGCUAAAACUCAAAGGAAUUGACGGGGGCUCACACAAGCGGUGGAGCAUGUUGCUUAAUUCGAGGCAACGCGAAGAACCUUACCUGGGCUUGACAUGUAUGGAUUAGCU
rnacentral:rRNA from 1 species